rnacentral:misc_RNA from 1 species
CAGAAGUUACGCAGCUCCUAAAUUAAUUUCAGGACGUCUUCGCAAGAGAUUAUAAAUACCUAAAGGGCCUCAUCCAUGGAAUGGGUGAGAUAAAGAUCGACCUGCUUCCCGACGCAAAGUCGGUCCGUAAAAGACCAUAUAAGCUGGUGCACAAGUACAAAUAUAUAGUCAAGAAAGAAAUAGAAGCCAUGCUAGCAGUAGGUAUUAUAUACUCGGUAGAUCAAUCUGAAUGGGCUAGUCCCAUGGUAGUCCCGCCUAAAAAUCACGAUCCUAAGAACCUUAGGAUCUGCGUCGAAUUUAGAUGGUUGAAUGAGCAACCUUAACUGAUCCCUUCCCUACAC